rnacentral:rRNA from 1 species
CCUACGGGGGGCUGCAGUGGGGAAUAUUGGACAAUGGGGGCAACCCUGAUCCAGCCAUGCCGCGUGUGUGAAGAAGGCCUUCGGGUUGUAAAGCACUUUAAGCAGGGAGGAAGGCUCGUUGGUUAAUAACCAGCGGGAGUGACGUUACCUGCAGAAUAAGCACCGGCAAACUCCGUGCCAGCAGCCGCGGUAAUACGGAGGGUGCGAGCGUUAAUAGGAAUUACUGGGCGUAAAUCUUAAGUCGGCUGUGACAUCCCCGGGCUCAACCUGGGUGCUGCAUUCGAUAGUGGCAGACUUGAAUACGGUAGAGGGGGGUGGAAUUCCAGGUGUAGCGGUGAAAUGCGUAGAGAUCUGGAGGAACACCAGUGGCGAAGGCGGCCCCCUGGACCGAUAUUGACGCUGAGGUACGAAAGCGUGGGGAGCAAACAGGAUUAGAUACCCGGGUAGUC